GCCAGACCUGUAGAGAGGCCAAGUUUAUGCGUCAGUACUGCGUCCCGUCACUCUACCUGUUGAUGCUAGUGACGACACGACGCACUGUUUCUUCUGAGUUAUUUUGAACGAUUCUACCGACCAAAAAUAAAAUUACACUCACUAACAGCAGGAGAAAGGAGCCCGCUAGAGCGUCGAUGGUGAGGGCGGCAAUGCCCGUGCUGCGGUCUGCGGAGGGCGGCCUGAGGCACUGGCUGGCAUUGGUGAUCUCCUGGGCCAGCCACAGGUCCAGGAUGCCCGCCUCCUUCAACACGUGGAUCCUGCAGGAGGAGACGGAGCCACAGUGGUUCUUAUUGAUCCCUUCAAGGUAAAUGUGUGGUAUUACUGCAGAGUUACGCGUCUCACUGGCAGACGAAGGUAUAAUUUUGCUGUGGUAUUGUUUACUUUAUUGUUAAGUAA